rnacentral:rRNA from 1 species
GACGAACGCUGGCGGCGUGCUUAACACAUGCAAGUCGAACGGAAAGGCCCUGCUUUUGUGGGGUGCUCGAGUGGCGAACGGGUGAGUAACACGUGAGUAACCUGCCCUUGACUUUGGGAUAACUUCAGGAAACUGGGGCUAAUACCGGAUAGGAGCUCCUGCUGCAUGGUGGGGGUUGGAAAGUUUCGGCGGUUGGGGAUGGACUCGCGGCUUAUCAGCUUGUUGGUGGGGUAGUGGCUUACCAAGGCUUUGACGGGUAGCCGGCCUGAGAGGGUGACCGGCCACAUUGGGACUGAGAUACGGACCAGACCCCUACGGGAGGCAGCAGUGGGGAAUAUUGCACAAUGGGCGGAAGCCUGAUGCAGCAACGCCGCGUGCGGGAUGACGGCCUUCGGGUUGUAAACCGCUUUCGCCUGUGACGAAGCGUGAGUGACGGUAAUGGGUAAAGAAGCACCGGCUAACUACGUG